UACGUAGGGGGCUAGCGUUGUCCGGAAUCAUUGGGCGUAAAGGGCUCGUAGGCGGCCAACUAAGUCGGAUGUGAAAUCCCCAGGCUCAACUUGGGAACUGCAUCCGAUACUGGAUGGCUUGAAUUCGGGAGGGGGAUGCAGAAUUCCAGGUGUAGCGGUGAAAUGCGUAGAUAUCUGGAGGAAUACCGGUGGCGAAGGCGGCAUCCUGGACCGACAUUGACGCUGAUGAGCGAAAGCUAGGGGAGCAAACGGG
rnacentral:rRNA from 1 species